AUGAACGCUGGCGGCGUGCCUAAUACAUGCAAGUCGAGCGAACAGACGAGGAGCUUGCUCCUCUGACGUUAGCGGCGGACGGGUGAGUAACACGUGGAUAACCUACCUAUAAGACUGGGAUAACUUCGGGAAACCGGAGCUAAUACCGGAUAAUAUAUUGAACCGCAUGGUUCAAUAGUGAAAGACGGUUUUGCUGUCACUUAUAGAUGGAUCCGCGCCGCAUUAGCUAGUUGGUAAGGUAACGGCUUACCAAGGCAACGAUGCGUAGCCGACCUGAGAGGGUGAUCGGCCACACUGGAACUGAGACACGGUCCAGACUCCUACGGGAGGCAGCAGUAGGGAAUCUUCCGCAAUGGGCGAAAGCCUGACGGAGCAACGCCGCGUGAGUGAUGAAGGUCUUCGGAUCGUAAAACUCUGUUAUUAGGGAAGAACAAAUGUGUAAGUAACUAUGCACGUCUUGACGGUACCUAAUCAGAAAGCCACGGCUAACUACAUG
rnacentral:rRNA from 1 species